AACACUAAUAAAGCAGAAACGAGCAACCGAUAGCGUUUAAUGACAAAAUAACAAUAAACAAGAACUUAGAACACUGAAACCCAGCAAAAAAGUUUUUUGUUUAGAAAUUUGAAUGAAUUUAAUGCAGUUCACAAAUACAUCUGAAGGUGAGGUAAAUGAAGAGCAAAUCCGAAGCAAAAUGAAAAAUUUAGUUUUACAAGUAGGACAAAUAUCGAUACCUGAAAUUAAAGAUAAUGAAGUCCUUACCAGAGUUUUUCAAAUUUUUAAAGAGGCAAACUAUGAUGUAAGCUUUUUUGAGAUUGCAGUAGAGCACUUUAAAACCAUUUGCCUGAUUCAUGAGAGGUCUGGGGUUGAUGUAAUGAGACCAGCUAUUUUUGAAAAUCUCAAAUUUAGAACGCAUGAAGAAUGCUUGGCCUAUUACAUAGCAAAGCUUUUUUUGGACAAAAUGCAGUUAUUGAAUUUAAAACCAUGCCCAAUUGAUCUUAGCAAUUCUGAACCAAUCGAGAGUUUACCUUUACAAUUUUUUCUAAAGCAAAGUACAAAUGUCGAGGCAAAAGCAAAAUUUGAAAAUAAUUUAAACUCUGGUGACCUACUUUUUGUUGAAAUGAUCAAUACUGAGGGAAAAGGGCUUCACUCUCAAGAGCUGGGAAAACUGAGAGUGAUCGCGAAAGUGAAUGAUAUAUUCAAUUUAGAGGAGGACUUUGUAUAUCAUCUAAACUGUAAUGUUUAUAUGUUCAAGAAUCUGGAAAUGACUCGAUUGAACAGAAAUGAAAUCAAAUCUUCUGAAGUGCUUAAAGUUUGUGUCUUAGGCAAACUUACGCAACAAAAAAGAUUUGUCACAACAAAUUAUGCUUCAUUACGGCUUACUGCAGCUGAAAGGAUCUCUAUUAAUUUGGGUAUUGUGUCUUAUGAGGAUAUGCCACCUUUUCUCAAAUCUUUUAAAAAGACUCAGAAAUUUUCUUGCUAUAGCAAUUACUUACGAAGUCAUCCUCAUUUUUACCACAAUAGUGAUUUCAAAAAGCAAAUAGAAUCUUUGGGGAUUGACCCUUAUAGAAUAUAUUCCUUUUGCUCCACUAGAGAUGGACUAUCUGUUCCACCUGGCAGAUCUACUGAUAGUUUAAUAAACAAUGCCAAAGAAGCUAUUCACAUUGAUGCACAAAAUCAUCUAGAAGAAGCUAAAAAAUUUGCAGAGAAAUUUGAGAUCCACACUGCUAUUGAAGAAUUUGAAAAGAGUGCAAGUUGCUGGCCCGAAAAUUACAAACUUUAUGAAUUACGAGGUAUCUCGGCAUGUGUAAAGGACGUAAGAGGAGGGGAUCACUACUCUUCAAAGCUGUGGCUGACUUUGAAACAGCUCUUCAUUUAAAUCCUAGUGCUCAAGAAUCCAAACAGUGUCUGUCGAAGAUAUUUUUAUAUCGAUCAAAAGGGUUAUUAAAGAGGAAAGAAUUAGAAAAUUCAAAGAGAGCUGCAAGUACUGCUUUGAAAAUUCUUCCAGAAAAUAUAGAGGCAGCUGAAAUGUUAAAAAAAAUUGAGGUG
rnacentral:misc_RNA from 1 species